GGCCGUGGGACUCACGUGGGCCAGGAGGAGGUGAGCAGAGGGCUGUGCCUUCCGCGGCUCCUGCCUCUGCUUCGGGACGAGAACGUGCCCGGCUGGCCUGGCCCCUCUCCAGCCAAGCUCCGGGACAGGCUGCCUGGACUCCAGUCCCCGUUCGUUUAGACCCGAGUGAACUUGGAAAGCCGGUGAGCCACCCGGCCUCAGUUUCCUCCUCGCAAAAGUGGUGGUCACUUCAAGGGCGAGACCCAACGAGAUGGCCAACGUCAAGCACGGAGCUCAGGGCCGGGCACGCCGUGCAGUGAGUUAGCGGCUACGCCGGCCAUGGAGAGAAGAUGGUGUCAGAAGUAGCGAGAAGCACGUAGCCCCCGUGACUUCACACUUGGCAGGCUGUGCCAGCAGCGCUCCAGGUCAGGCCAGGUGGACCCCUGCUUGCUGCUUCCUCCUCUCUGCAGGGUUCUCCUUACUGCAUCCUGGGCAGAAAGGCGCCCUGGCAUGCCGGGUGACAGCGCCAGGCUGGCCACCAGGGGGCCCAGAUCUAGCCCAGGCCUGUUUCCAGCUGCCCCUGUGACUACUGGUGAGCAUUUCCCUUUCUUGGGCCGGGUU